rnacentral:rRNA from 1 species
GACGAACGCUGGCGGCGUGCUUAACACAUGCAAGUCGAACGGAAAGGCCCUGCUUUUGUGGGGUGCUCGAGUGGCGAACGGGUGAGUAACACGUGAGUAACCUGCCCUUGACUUUGUGAUAACUUCAGGAAACUGGGGCUAAUACCGGAUAGGAUCUCCUGCUGCAUGGUGGGGGUUGGAAAGUUUCGGCGGUUGGGGAUGGACUCGCGGCUUAUCAGCUUGUUGGUGGGGUAGUGGCUUACCAAGGCUUUGACGGGUAGCCGGCCUGAGAGGGUGACCGGCAACAAUGGGACUGAGAUACGGACCAGAAUCCAACGGGAGGCAGCAGUGGGGAAUAUUGAACAAUGGGCGGAAGCCUGAUGCAGCAACACCGCGUGCGGGAUGACGGCCUUCGGGUUGUAAACCGCUUUCGCCUGUGACGAAGCGUGAGUGACGGUAAUGGGUAAAGAAGCACCGGCUAACUACGUG